GUCUGGGUGGUGUAGUUGGUUAUCACGUUAGUCCCACACACUAAAGGUCCCCAGUUCGAACCUGGGCUUAGACA
rnacentral:tRNA from 1 species